AAACUAGGAUUAGAUACCCUCCUAUAAAUUUAAAAUUUUAGUAGUAAAUGAUAUUCAAUAAAUUAAAAAAAAUUGGCGGCUUUUCAAAAAAACUAGAGGAAUUUAUUCUUUAAAGGAUUUAACACCAAAAUCUUACUUAAUUUAGUUAAAUCAGUUUGUAUAUCUCUAUAAUUUAAAUAAAUAUAUUUAUUUUUUUUACAUUCUAUAUUUAAUAAAAAAAAUUAGGUCAAGGUGCAACUAAUAAUUAAGCUUGAAAUAAAUUAUAUUAAUAAAUAUUUAACAAUAAUAAAAAUGAAAUUAACUAUUAAAGAAAAAUUUAAAAGUAAAUUAAAUCUAACUAAUUUAAUUGAAUACUUUAUUGUAAGUGUACAUAUUGCCCGUCACUCUUUAUUUAAAGAUAAGUCGAACAUAGU
rnacentral:rRNA from 1 species